GCGAAAUUUUGACAGGUUGCAAUGAAAAAAUAUAAAAAAAACACAAGAUUAGUAUUUUUUUCAUCGCGACCUGUCAAAAUUUUGUAGUUUUGAGAAUCAAUAUUUUGAAUUUGAAUGGCACACCCGAACAAAGCAGCCACAAGAGCAGCAUUUUUCGUCAGCAGCAGAAGCAGCAGCCAUCUAUCUACUUGAUAAGUUUUCAUCAACAACAACCAGAUGCUACAAAUCAGCUCAACUUGACUCAACAUCCUGGAUCUGGCAAUCAGCCAACCAACAUUAAAUCGAUACAACCGUAGCAGUACCAACAACUCCAAAUCCAGCAGCUGCCAACAAUCUCUCAAAAAAGAACCACAGCAAUUACAGCUCAGAACCAACAAAGCAACAAGAGCUUUUUUACGAAUAAUGGACCCAACGGACACACUUUAUCGGCACAUUCUGUCGUAAAACUUGCCUGCCACUAUUCUUACCAGCGGUUACCUUCCUGAUGUAGAGAAAUCAGAGUCAAACACAAACGUCAUAUUACUGCCUUGGCUCCUACCAGUUGCUUGCAUGAAAAUAUCGCUGCCUCCACAGUGCUCGUGAUUCCAUCCCAGCAGCAGCUAGCAACCACAAUUCCAGUGCUUAUCGCCAGCAACAUCAGAAAAUUAAGAUUUCCCCUAGACCAUGACCAUCAUCCGACAGAUCGGUAGCAACAACGUUCAACUGACGGUAGAACCUGGCCAGCAAACCGCAACUAGUGCAAUCGAUCCAAGCCAAUCAGGGCCAAAUGUAGAAGACCAUUGGUCAACCGCAAAAAAAAGAUACAUCAACAGCACCUUCAAACGCAGUAGCAGCAGCAUACUGUACUGUACCACGCCGCGUGCAGGACUUUUUUUUAUUCAGUUGGUGCAGCAAGAUCGAACAGCAACCAUAGCGGAUACACAUCACCGAACACCAGCAACAUAAUGCCAUGGUAACCACCCAGCAGUAGUUAUCCUCUAGGGAGAGAUAUGCGGAGGAAAAAAAAGGCAAACUAGCAACGGUAAAUAUCGCGAUAAAAAACUAGCAUCACUUAUUGCGAACCAAGUUUUGCGUGACUUUAUUAUCAUAACGUUUAUUUUAAAAAUAAGAAAUGAAGUGCAAUGCGAAUCGGCCUUGUAAUUACGCUCUAAUAGCUGAAAUAAGUUUUUUUUCGGUACCCGAAGGAUGCUGCAUUACGCGAUAAAUGGGUUGAAUUUUUUGAGUUCCGGCGUUCCCGUUGCUGGAUUCUUUGCGGCUAUGUAGCGCAAGUAUUAUUCAAACAAAAAUCAGUAAAUAUGUAUAUAAUAAGAAGAGAAUACUGCAAAGAAAAACUCCGUUCCUGUGUAUUCGCACGUUACGCAGUUAUAGGAGCUUACGAAAAACAAAAAAGCAAACUUUUGAUGAUGGAUCUAUUUCCCGCAGAAAACCAUUCUUGACCCUAUCGAACAACGUAAGCAAGAAGAUAGAUUAGAUGCAUAAAAUAUACCAUGCGGUAGCUUUCGGACAAAAAAUCAUCUCUUCAGAUCAAUCAAAAGCAACACUGCCAGCAACGCAACCAUCUGGAAAAAAUCACUACCGUGAAGUUACCUACCAAAAAGCUCAUCUAUCAAAAAGCUCACCUACUAAAAAGCUCAUCAAACAAAAAGCUCAUUUAUUAUAGAGCACCACCUUAAACAGUAAAGGCUUUGAAGGUGGUACUCUGAAAGUAGAGCUUUUUAUUUCAUGGUGGUAUCCGGGUGGCAAGAUCAGGAACUAAAUGAAUGUCCUAACAAAUUCAUAGUUGUCAAAUAUCAUAAUAAAA